GCGCCUACUGCCCCGUAGGCAUCCCGGGGGACAAACGCUGGGUCGUCCUGAGUCGCUCCCACUCGCCAGGUCCCAUAACCUUGAAGACUGCCAGACUUCCCCAGCCGAAGCAUCGCACCCUGGUGCUCGAGAACUUGGUCGAAUUUUCUCCUCUGUCAGAGAAGAGACUGGCUGGCAGAGCAAGGGGUCUUGCUGUGUCCCUCGGGCUGGAGUGCAGUGGCACCAUCACAGUUCACUUGCAGCCUCGACCUCCCUGGGUUCAAGCCAUCCUCCUGCCUCAGCCUCCAGAGGAGCUGGACUACAGAUAUGGAGUCGCCUAAGCUGGAGUGCAGUGACAUGAUCUCGGCUCACUGUAACCUCUGUCUCCCGGAUUCAAGCAAUUCUCCUGCCUCAGCCUCUGGAGUAGCUGGGAUUACAGCUGGGUGCGGUGGCUCAGGACUGUAAUUCCAGCUACAUGAGAGGAUUGCCUGAGGCCAGGAGUUUGAGACCAGCCUGAACAACAUAAUAGACUGGGAGCUCCAUGAGGUCCGAGACAACCUGAAGACGCCCAGCUCAGCAGAGACUGGCUACGGCAAUCACUCAGUAACUAUUUGUUGAAUUGGACAUAAUAGAAGAGCUGAAGAAUUUUAAACAAGUCACCAUCAGUGCAGUGGAUUCCUCAAAGCAAACCUGGAAAUCUCGGCAUGAGUUGGAUUUAAGGCAGUACAUUUUCAGCUCCUGAAAAUUUGAACAGUUUCUCAAGAGAACAACUUGAAACAGAAAGGCAAGGAUGUAGAUGUGGUUGUAGAAGAUGAUGUCUGCGGCCACCAAACUGUCCACUGUGAAGACAAACCAUGCAUGUUUAGUAGGCAGUGGCUCCUCUUCCCUGUGGGGAGUCCCACUGCUUCCCUGGCCUGGGUGUUCUCUGCCGGUAGAUGUUAUUGACAAAAUAAGCAAAGUCCUCUGAUUCUGAGAAUUAGAGUUAAUGAUAGCUCUAGAUUGCCUCUGCCAUGCUAUUUAAAGUCCUGCUUUAUUGUCUGACAUGAGUUCGGCAUCUAUGAGGACUUGUCCAGUGCAAAGUACAAUCUCCACUGAAAGAUAUCACCAGCACAUCUUGUCACUGUGCUGUAGCAAGCUGGGCAGUACAAUGAUGUUGGCAGGAUCCUGUUUAGGUGGAGGAUGGCCACCUGGGCAUCAAGAAUCUUCUACCCUGAUUCCACAUUGACUCCCCAAAGUGGGCUUCAGACAGCUCUUUACUUACGUCUUCUGAUUAAAGCAGCAGACAGGGUCCCAGCUAGAGAAAAGUUCUGGGAGCAGGAGAGGUGUUGGUGGCUUUAAAACCAGGGGUGAAGAUUGAAUUAGGAGGUUAGGCAGGAGUAGGAUCAAAGACUUAGAAAAUGCUUGUUUCCUCCUAUUAUUCUUAUGAGAGCUGAUACGGGGCUUUCAGUUUUGGGGGAGAGCCUUGGAAGAGAAUGAGGGAAUUUAAUCAACUAGCGGGACCUUUCCAACUUACAUUUCCCAGUGUUUGUUGGAUGAUACGUUUGCCUAAUAAGUUAAAGCUUCCAAAAAUAGAAAGGAAAGCUUGGUGACACUAAGCUCUGGCAUGCUGUCAUCUUCUGGCUAGGGGUCUUGUGCUUCUGUUUUUCUAUUUCUGACCAAAGACAUAAAAUGUGUUGUGACCUCUCAGGUAAUGCUGUGGUAUCAUGUCCAAGCAGUAACUAACCAGAGUGGAGUUUUUACAGGUAAAAAAGUAUUGAAUAGCUCAGCAACAGGGAGGACUUAAUGAUAAAUUGCUUUUUCAGAAAAUGACAAGGGGACAGACACUUGCGGUUCUUCCAUUGAGAGCCUUAAGGAAGUUAAGCGAAGCCUCUGCUCACCCCUUCAAGUAACGAUGACCCAUCAGAUCGUGGUCAUAACCAGUAGCAUCUGAGGCACCCCUAAGCUCUCUGGGCCCCAGAUUCCUUGUUAAGUUAAAUGAGGUGACUUCCCAGUUUACCAUUCUAGGGGUUCCUGAGGAGUUAAAAAUGAAGGAGAAAAUGCAACAUGUACCAAGUGAGCAAGAGCUCAAGGCUUAUCUCUGGCACGAAAGUGACCGCUGUCCGUUAGAGAUGUGAUUGCCCUAGAUUUCCUUUAGGAAAUGCAAACAUUGAACUCUGGCCUUCAGGACCCAAGUCCCGGCUUGCAUCUAUUCUAUACACUUUCUGUUAUUUGUUAGGGCUCACAAGGAACAGUUAUUUAUCUUUUAUUUUCUAUUUUUUUUUUAGAGAUGGAGUCUCACUCUGUCUCCCAGGCUGGAGUGCAGUGGUGCCAUCUCAGCUCACUGCAACCUCCACCUCCCGGGUUCAAGCAAUUCUCCUGUCUCAGCCUCCUGAGUAGCUGGGACUACAGGCGUGUGCCAUCAUGCCCGGCUAAUUUUUAGUAUUUUUAGUAGAGGCAGGGUUUCACCAUAUUGGCCAGGCUGGUCUUGAACUCCUGAUCUCAAGUGAUCUACCCUCCUUGGCCUCCCAAACUGCUGGAAUUACAGAUGUGAGCGACCACACCUGGCCCAUUUGUUUUCUUUCAAACCCUUCUGUAAGACCAGUGCUUUAGGUGAACACGUGGACAGAACAAGAUCAUCACUAUUUUGCAAUAUGAAGACCAACUGCGCUGUGACCAGAAAAACAGAGGCAAAAUGUUGAGCUUAAUGAUACCUUUUUAUAAUUUGUAUUUGGUGUUUCUCAAUUUUCCAUUGGAUAGUUUGAGAGAUAAGUACAAGUCAAUGACAUGUUCUCUUUCGUACCCUAUUGUCUAAUCCUGCUAACACACACACACACACACACACACACACUGAUUACCUAAUUUAUCUGUUCCCCGAUUAUUACACUCUCAAUUGCUGCAGAGUCUCAGAAGCAGCAUGGUGUAACAGAAAGAAUAUGAGGCUUAGAAUCCAAAAGCCAGAGUGUGAAUUCCAGCUCCACUGACUUGCUGCGUGACUUGAAGCAAGUCAUUACGUGUCUCUGUUUACUCAUUUUAUGACUUUCCUAUUGCCUCUGUAAUAUAGCACCACAAACGUGUGGACUUAAAACAACAUGCAUUUAUUCUCUUAGCGUUCUGGAGGUCAGGAGUCUGACAUCAAUUUCGUUGGGCUAAAAUCAAGAUGUUGGUAGGACCAAGAUCCCCGUGGAGGCUCUGGGAGAACCCAUUUCCUUGCCUUUGCCAGCUUCUAAUGCUGCAUUCCUUGCAUUCCUUGAUUGUUGACCUCUUCCCCCAUCUUCAAAGCCAGCAGAACAGCACCUUGUUUCAUUGCCUUCUUUACUGUCAAAUCUCCCUCUGCCUUCUUCUUAUAAGAACACUUGUGGUUGCAUUUAGAAGCUGUGAUAAUCCAGAAUAAUAUCUUUAUCUCAAGAUCUUUGACUUGGUCUCUUCUGCAAAGUCUCUUUUGCCACAGAGGGAAAUAUUCACAGGUCCCAGGGGUCAGGCUGUGUACGUCUUUGGGGGACUUUAUUCUGCCUACCACACUCAUCUUUUUUUUUUUUUUUUUUGGAUGGAGUCUUGCUCUGUCACCCAGGCUGGAGUGCAGUGGCAUGAUCUCGGCUCACUGCAACUUCUGCCUCCCCAGUUCAAGCAAUUCUCCUGCCUCAACCUCCCAAGUAGCUGGAAUUACAGGCGCCUGCCACCACGCCCGGCUACUUUUUGUACUUUUAGUAGAGAUGGGGUUUCACUAUGUUGGCCUGGCUGGUCUUGAACUCCUGACCUCAGGUGAUUCCCCCACCUUGGCCUCCCAAAGUGCUGAGAUUACAGACGUGAGCCACCAUGCCCGGCCCCACACUCAUCUAUUAAGUAGAGCUAGGAAUUCCUAUCCUAAGGGACACAAAAAUGAAAAAAGAUAAAAUUUGUGAAGAGGCACAUAAUGAAAGCCCAUACAUGUCACUGAGUUCAGAGGAGGGUGGGUCUGACCUCCCAUUGGCUGGUCUCUGCCUGAUGGACAUCGUGAAGAAGAGAGCCAGGACUAGUGUGGCUGGGGGAUGUUCAGGGGCCAGAGUGGCUUCAGGUGCCAGCAGCCCUGGCCGAAGGAUGACUCCAGGAGCAAGGCUCAGAGCCGAGUGGAAGAAGCUUCAUAAACGCAACUGAGCCAAGCAUGAUGGGAUGUGCCUGUGGUUCCAGCUACUCAGGAGGCAGGUGGGAGGAUGGCUUGAGUCAGAAGUUCGAGGCUGCAGUGAGCUAUGAUCACACUACUGUACUCCAGCCUGGGUGACAGAAUGACACCCUGUCUCUAAAAAGAAAAGGCACCUGGAUGCUCAUGACCGAGAUGGGGUGGGGUGGGUGGGGUGGGACAGCCGCACUUUAUAACUUUGCUUUCAGCAUGAUGUGGAUUAGUGUCUCCCAUGUGGGAAAAUUAUGUUUACCACUUAGAGACCUGAUAGUGCUUGCUUACCCCAUAACGCUGGACGGUGGCAGGCUUAACUCCCCCAUCAAGGGCCUUAAUGUAUUUGGGGCCCUAGUCCUAGCAACAGCAGCAAAUCUCCUUUUUCUUUUCCUCGAGCUGGUUGUUCACCAGGCAGUUGGGAUGUUAAUGGGAAGAGAAGACACACACAAGUCCCUUGUUUUCAAUAAGGCAGUCUGGUCACGUCCUUAGCAGGUUAUUAAUCUUUUUCAAACCCCUCCUCUCCACCAAGUUUUAUGAUCCUGGGAAGGAGAUUCCUACCUAGCAUCCUUAGAGUUAUCGGGGGUUAGGAUCGGUGCAUGCAGUCACUUCCGUGGAAUCAUCAGUAGCCCUCCAGCCUCUGGGGAGAGCUGCCAGUGGUCAGAGAUGUUGGGAAUUACGAGGGAGGAGCUAGGGAGAAGGAACUCACAGUCCCUCAGUCUCUGAAGGUGGCUCCUGGCAGGAGAGGGGGCCAGUCCUAGAUAAGAGCUCUCCCAGGGAAUUCCAAGGGUCCUCCCAAGGUCCAGCCACAAGAUGAGGAAUUACUGUUGGGCUCUUCCUCAGAUGUGCCUGUGAAUUCAUAUCACAGAUGCUUGAUGCAUUUGACAAUUGUUUAAUUGCUUGAGCCCAACUGAUACUCUUUCAGUCACUUUAAGGGAGUGAUUUCAAGUAUGAUCAUUGCCUCAAAUCUGUAUGGCUUUCCUUGCCUUUCAGGUGCUUUAAGAGGGCUUAUGUUCUUUGACUCCCCUAGUAACUCAAAAGGGUGGCUAAGAUGCAACUCUGGAGGUUUCCAAGCUCUCUGCAAAGCCUGCCUUCAGUAGUCUGUGCACCACAAGAAGCAUAACUUUAUUAUCCUCUAGCUGAAUUUACCUCCUGCUUCGAGCCCCUGUUUUCCCAUGUCAUUUUAGGGGUCCAAUGUUUUUCCUGGAGGCAUAUACACACACACACACACACACACACACACACACACACACACACACACACACACAUAUAUACACACACACAUUCCAGGGGCCUCUGAGGUGCCAAGACAUGUGUGGGGUCCAUCUGGUUCACACUGAUGUCCAUGAUCAUUGAGUUCAUUUUUUAUAUCAACUAUGUGACACUUCCUAUAGUUUCCAGUUCCUGGUUAGAAUUUGCAAAGUUGCCGACUAUUUCUUUGAAUAGAGUAGCUAGAUCAUGGGUCUACACCAGUCAUCAAGCAGCGAUUUCCCUGUUGGAAGCUCCAAGCAAAUUGUCAGCUCCAGCAUUCCACACAGCUGUGGGUGCCACACUCCUUUUCCUUUUAAAAGAUGAUGAUCUGCUAGUGGUGAAUGCUCUUGGAGUUUUAUUUGUAGGUUUUUCUUGUUGUCGCAAAUGUCUAUAUUUCAUCUUCCCUCUUGAGGGAUAUUUUCCAUGGGUAGAGGAUCUAGGCUUUUCUUUUGGAUUCCAUUGUGGCUUUAAAAAAAAGUCAGUUGACUGUUUAUUUAUGGCUUCUCUAAAGGUGAUCUCUUUCUUCCUAAGGCUGCUUUAAAAGUUUCCGUUCCCUCCCUCCCUUCCUCCCACCCCAUCCCCCUUCUUCCUUUCCUUCCUCCCUCCCUUCCUCCCUUCUCUUCCUCCCUUUCUCCCUUGUCUUCCUCCUUUUCUCCCAUCCUCCCUUCCUCCCUCUUUCCUUCUUUUUUCCCUUCCUCCCGCCCUCCUUCCUUCUUCCAUCAUUAUAUAUUAAAAUAUUUUCUUUCUUUCUUUUUUUUUUUUGAGAUGGAGUUUCGCUCUUGUUGCCCAGGCUGGAGUGCAACGGUGUGAUCUUGGCUUACUGCAACCUCCACCUCCCUGGUUCAAGCGAUUCACCUGCCUCAGCCUCCCUAGUAGCUGGGAUUACAGGUGCCCGCCACCACACCCAGCUAAUUUUUGUAAUUGUAGUAGAGAUGGGGUUUCACCAUGUGGGCCAGGCUGGUCUUGAACUCCUGAACUCAGGUAAUCCACCCGCCUUGUCCUCCCAAAGUGCUGGAAUUACAGGCAUGAGCCACCACUCCCAGCCUAUUAAAAUAUUUUCUUCUGGGCCUUCCCUCCUUUUACUUCUUUUGAUACCGCCAUCAAAUGCAUGUUAGGUUGACUCACUGUGUACUCUAUUACCCUCUCAUCUGGUUUUUAAUCUUUCUGUCUCCUUAUACUGUAAUCUCAGUGUUUCUUCUGCUUUAAUUUUGGUAUAUGAAUUAUUCAGCUGUGUUCAAAGUGUGGUUAAAGCGACUUAUAUGCUCUUUAAUUUUUAGUUAUUGUACUUUUCACCUCUAGAAGUUCUUCUGUGACACUUCUUAUAGUUUCCAGUUCCUGGUUAGAAUUUGCAAACUUGUUGACUAUUUCUUUGAAAAGAGUAGCUAGAAUUGUUUUAGUCUGUGUAUAGUGAGUUGAAUAUCUGAAACCUCUGUGAGUCUGUUUCUUUUGUCUGCUAGCCCUACUCAUGGCGUCAUGUUUUCCUGGAUGUUUAGUUGGUUGUCUUUGAAUAUGUCCAACUCCAGUUAUUUCUGGGAAUACCCAAAGGCACACCUGUUCACUAUCACCCAGUGAACUGCCAUGUGUUUGUCUCCUGUCAUGGUAACAUUUGCAUUCAGGGAGAGGCCUCUGCUCUCUGCAGAACAGUGUGAAAUCACCUCAUUUUUGCCUUCAAUGAAGGUUGUCUCUUGCUGGUCACCACCACUUCCUCAAAUGACUAAUGCCACUCUUGCUCACAGUGCUAAGGCGCUAAGGAGUUUUCAGAGGGCUAGAGUGAUUCUGCAUCCUCUGGGGUUCUCAGGAAACGAGGCCACAGGGCCAUCUGUGCAUGAGUGACAGUGGGGUGGGGUGGAUGAGCAGUGGCAGUGGUGGGCACCUAUGCUGCUGGCGCCACAGCUUUUUAUAUCUUGGUGAAAACAACGCCUUGCGUUUUCACUUGUAGAUUCUCCGGCUACAUUCCACAAGAACAAAUUCUGGUCACAGAGGCCAGAGUAGACUAUCAGUGUAAUGGCCCUUCCCCUUUGAUGAUAGCAGCUUUUUUCGGGGGAGCAGGGGUGGCCAAACUUCCUAGCCUUAUUUUAUCUUCCUUUCUAGUUCUCCCCAGAGGCUGCUGGGUCCACCUCUCCCUCUGCCAGACAGACAGGCUCAGACAUGCAAGAACGGAAGGGGGUGUGGGGGUUGGUGGGAGGAUUAAGUUGGGGAAAGCCAGUCUUGUCUUUGUAGAUUACCAGAACUGACACACGUACACACACGUACACUCACUCACUCACUCACUCAUCUAUUCAUCUAUUUUUGGCCUAAGUGCCUUUGGACACUUCUUCGGAAAAGCACAUGAACUCUUCGGAGUCUCCUGUUCCACUUGGUAAAUUUCCUAUAGCCACGCACUGAAAGUCCCUGCUGCCCUCCUUCCUCUGAGCUUGUGGGGCCCACAGAUCCCCUGCUCCACUUCCUGCUUCAUUUCAGCUGAUGGUGAGUCCAGGGCAGGCUUGUAGGAAGGGCGGGCUAGGCGUGGGGAACUGCAGCACCCACCCCACCCCCCGCCCCAGUGCUUGUUGCCCCAGCCUCUGUCUCCCUCGCUGUGCCCUUCCCUUAAGCCCCACUCUUGGCCUCCCCAAAGACAGAGUUUGUUCUGUUUUUAUUGAUAGGAUGACACUCCCUCGUUCUAAUACCAUCUGAAUGCCUGAGCAAUUACAUCUUACAACCUCAUGAAAAACACAGCAGCUUGUCACGAUGAAUGAUGUUACCGUGAAUAAUGCAGUUUUGAGUUCAAACUCCUUCUUAUUCCAAGAAUGAGUAAAUAUCCCUAUUCCCUCCCCUCCCCAUUGCAUUUGGGUUUGACAUGACAUGAAUCAUUGUGGUUUUACUCCUGGGUAGAAUUGUUUUUCUGUAUUGCAUUGCCAAUUGAUGGAAGGACAAAAAAAGGAAACUUACCAAUGAGCAGUUUCAGAUGAACUUAAAUUCUCAGAAAUCUUGAAGAAUGAAUGAACUAUAACUUUCUGAAGUUGCAAAAAUGUUCAAGUCGGAAGUGACCCAUGGGAAGCAACCUGGUCCUUAAUUAGGACUGGAAAGAAAACGGAGGCCCAGCGAGGGAACAGUGGCUUCCCCAAGGUCACACUGCAAGUGAGUGGUGGCACUAGUCACCCAGGAGUCCUCCUGACUCCAUGGUAUCCUGACCCCAGACCAGCAGCCUUAUUUGUGGUUAAAGAACGUGGAAAAACAGCUUAUGUUUGAAUUUUAAAAUCAUGCCAGUACUAAAGAUCUGCAUUCCAUGAAUAUUGAGCUUUGCUGUGUGCGGGUUGCUACGAAUUUUGUAACUAUUUUCUCUAAGAGCUCUCAGUAUUUUACAUAUACAAUUCCAUUCUUUAUUGUCCAGGGAAAAAGUUGCAUUUACUGAGCAGUAAGAGGGUGAUUUGAAGUCCCUGGGGUCCCCCACCCUUGUCUUUCUAUGUGAGAUUGUAUUGCAGGGCUCACAUUUAUUCUCUCAGCAGCUCAUUGCACAGACAGUGUAUUUAUUGAGCACCUACUGUGUGCCAGGAGCUAUGUGGUAAGCUAAGCAGACAAAAACUCCUGCUCUCACAAGAAGAAAGAAUAAACAAGCAGACAAUUGCACCUAUAAUGUCAGCCUGGUGUGAUGGCUCACUCCUGGAAUCCUAGCACUUUGGGAGGUGACGAUGGGAGGAUUGCUUUAACUCGGGAGUUCAAGAUAAGCCUGGGCAACCAAGACCCUGUCUCUACAAAAAAAUCAAAAAAUUAGCUGGGGGUGAUGGCAUGAGUCUCUGGUCCCUCGGGACCAGAGGCCUCGGGAGGCUGAGGCGGGUUUAUCACUUGAGCCUGGGAGGUUGAGGCUGCAGUGAGCUGUGAUCACACCACUGCACUCCAGCCUGGGCCACAGAGCGAGACCCUGUCUCUAAAUAAACAAACAACCUAAUGUCAAGUUAGGAAGUGUGGCAAAAAGGAACAAAGUCAGGGUGACUGCCAUUCUAGAAAGGGUGGUGAGGGAAGGUCUCCUUGAGCAGAUCCUGUGGGAGUGGAAGGGUAAGUCACGAGACUCUCUGGAGGAAGAAGAUUCCAGGUGGAAAUGCCUUAGUGGGUGUUAAACGCUUUAACGGGUGUUAGCCAGAAAGCCAGAAUGGCUGGAGCUGAGGGAGUAGAGGAGGCGGCAUAGAAAAUGAGGUCAGAGAUGGAGGCAGGGCCGGAUCACAGAGGGGCACAGAGAACGAGGAGGGAAUUGGAUUUUUGGAAAAGAUUGUGGCAAAAUACAAAAUAUAAAAUACAAAAAUAAAAUAUAAACCAUAAAAUGUACUACCUUUACCAUUUUAAGUAUGCAGUUCAGUAGUGUUAAAUACAUUUACAUCAUUGUUCAACCCGUCUCCAGAACUCUCUGCAUCUUGCAAAAUUAAAACUCUAUGCCAUUUCAACAGUUCGCAUUUCCUCUUCCCUCUCGUUCAUGGCAACCGCCAUUUUUCUUUCUGUCUCUGUAAAUGUUAGUACUUGGGGUAUCUCAUCUAAGUGGAAUCACACAGUGUGUGUCCUUUUGUGACAGACUUAUUUCACUUUGCAUAAUGUCCUUAAUAUUCAUCCAUGUUGUAGCAUGUGUCAGAUUUUCCUUCCUUCUUAACAUUGUGUAAUAUUCCAUUGUACGCAUAGACUACAUUUAGCUUAUCUGUUCACCUGUGGAUGGACACUUGGGUUGCUAUAGUGAAUAAUAUUGCUGUAAAUAUGGGUAUACGAUUAUCUCUUUGUGACCCUGCUUUUAAUUGUUUUGGAUAUAUACCCAGAAAUGGAAUUACUGAAUCAUGUGGAGAUUCUGUUUUUGAUUUAUUUAUUUAUUUUUAAUUUUUGAGAUGGAGUCUCGUUCUGUCACCCAGGCUGGAGUGCAGUGACACGAUCUCUGCUCACUGCAACCUCUGCCUCCUUGCACCAUUAAUUCUGAAAAUGCAGGCCUGGAUCCAACCGCCUUUGGGGACGGGUACCUGCCCACAGGAAGAGGUUGAGGAGACAAUAAUGUCACGAGAAUCAUCAUCUUUGACUGGGAAAUGGUGUGCAGAGUUUCUGGUGCCUUCUGAAGUGAUUGUCGCAUCUCAGCCUCCCUAGUAGCUGGGAUUACAGGCAUUUGCCACCAAGCCCGGCUAAUUUUUGUAUUUUUAGUAGAGACGGGGUUUCAUCAUGUUGGCCAGGCUGGUCUCAAACUCCUGACCUCAGGUGAUCCACCUGCCUCAGCCUCCCAAAGUGCUGGGAUUAUAGGUGUGAGCCAUGCACCUGGCCUGAUUGGUUAUUUAAAUUCUGAGAUGGGGUAUACUAAUGUUUGAAAACCACAGGGAUGGGAUAGGUAUAGGUGGGGAGGGAGAGCAAAAGUGGUAUUUAGAAUAUGUUACGUUUGAAAAACCUAAUACACAUUCUACAUCCAAGUGGACAUAGAUGGAGUUAUUUGA
rnacentral:lncRNA from 1 species